CCUACGGGUGGCAGCAGUGAGGAAUAUUGGUCAAUGGGCGGAAGCCUGAACCAGCCAAGUCGCGUGAGGGAAUAAGGCCCUACGGGUCGUAAACCUCUUUUGCCGGGGAGCAAGGGCCGGGACGAGUCCCGGUCCGGAGAGUACCCGGAGAAAAAGCAUCGGCGAAACCCGUGCCAGCAGCCGCGGUAAUACGGAGGAUGCGAGGGUUAUCCGGAUUUAUUGGGUUUAAAGGGUUCGUCGGCGGGCUUUUAAGUCAGCGGUAAAAAGUCGGGGCUCAACCCCGUCCGGCGGUUGAAACUGGGGGCCUUGAGUGGGCGAGAAGAAGGCGGAAUGCGUGGUGUAGCGGUGAAAUGCAUAGAUAUCACGCAGAACCCCGAUUGCGAAGGCAGCCUUCCGGCGCCCUACUGACGCUGAGGCACGAAAGUGCGGGGAUCGAACAGGAUUAGAUACCCUUGUAGUC
rnacentral:rRNA from 1 species